GCGGGUUUAGCUCAGUUGGGAGAGCGUCAGACUGAAGUUAACUUCGGCUCAAAUAUCUGAAGGUCAUGUGUUCGAUCCACAUAAACCGCA